rnacentral:rRNA from 1 species
CUGCCCAGUGACUUAAGUUUCAACGGCCGCGGUAUCCUGACCGUGCAAAGGUAGCAUAAUCACUUGUUCUUUAAUUAAGGACUUGAAUGAAUGGCCACACGAGGGUUCAACUGUCUCUUACUUAUAAUCAGUGAAAUUGACUUCUUCGUGAAGAGGCGAAGAUAAACCAGUAAGACGAGAAGACCCUAUGGAGCUUAAAUUUACUACCCAACUUGCACCCUACAUCCCUCCCCAACAGGACUCCAACACUCGCACUUAUGGGUACACAAUUUUGGUUGGGGUGACCUCGGAGCACAAAAUAACCCCCGAGUUAUUUAUACCCAGACAUAACCAGUCAAAGCCUUCAUAAAUAUAAUUGACCCAAAAAAUUGAUCAACGGAACAAGUUACCCUAGGGAUAACAGCGCAAUCCUGUUCAAGAGUCCAUAUCGACAACAGGGUUUACGACCUCGAUGUUGGAUCAGGACAUCCAAAUGGUGUAACCGCUAUUAAUGGUUCGUUUGUUCAACGAUUA